CGCUCUUUCUCCAUCAGCUCCUGGCCCGCAGCUGCCUCRAGAGGCAGCAGAAGCCCUGGAGCAUGUGCGUGCCUUCCUCAGCUCCGGAGGGCAGCAGCAGGAAGAGGCCAAGAAGCUCCAGUUUCUGGCCUCCAUCUGCACCCUCUGCCCAGCAACGCGCUUGGYCACCAGGCCCGCGCGUCUCCUGCGGCAGGAGCUCUGGCGGUGCAAAUCGGACCU